rnacentral:rRNA from 1 species
GACGAACGCUGGCGGCGCGCCUAACACAUGCAAGUCGAACGAGCGAGAGAGAGCUUGCUUUCUCAAGCGAGUGGCGAACGGGUGAGUAACGCGUGAGGAACCUGCCUCAAAGAGGGGGACAACAGUUGGAAACGACUGCUAAUACCGCAUAAGCCCACAGCUCGGCAUCGAGCAGAGGGAAAAGGAGUGAUCCGCUUUGAGAUGGCCUCGCGUCCGAUUAGCUAGUUGGUGAGGUAACGGCCCACCAAGGCGACGAUCGGUAGCCGGACUGAGAGGUUGAACGGCCACAUUGGGACUGAGACACGGCCCAGACUCCUACGGGAGGCAGCAGUGGGGAAUAUUGCACAAUGGGGGAAACCCUGAUGCAGCGACGCCGCGUGGAGGAAGAAGGUCUUCGGAUUGUAAACUCCUGUUGUUGAGGAAGAUAAUGACGGUACUCAACAAGGAAGUGACGGCUAACUACGUGCCAGCAGCCGCGGUAAAACGUAGGUCACAAGCGUUGUCCGGAAUUACUGGGUGUAAAGGGAGCGCAGGCGGGAAGACAAGUUGGAAGUGAAAUCUAUGGGCUCAACCCAUAAACUGCUUUCAAAACUGUUUUUCUUGAGUAGUGCAGAGGUAGGCGGAAUUCCCGGUGUAGCGGUGGAAUGCGUAGAUAUCGGGAGGAACACCAGUGGCGAAGGCGGCCUACUGGGCACCAACUGACGCUGAGGCUCGAAAGUGUGGGUAGCAAACAGG